rnacentral:rRNA from 1 species
GACGAACGCUGGCGGCGUGCUUAACACAUGCAAGUCGAACGGAAAGGCCCUGCUUUUGUGGGGUGCUCGAGUGGCGAACGGGUGAGUAACACGUGAGUAACCUGCCCUUGACUUUGGGAUAACUUCAGGAAACUGGGGCUAAUACCGGAUAGGAGCUCCUGCCGCAUGGUGGGGGUUGGAAAGUUUCGGCGGUUGGCGAUGGACUCGCGGCUUAUCAGCUUGUUGGUGGGGUAGUGGCUUACCAAGGCUUUGACGGGUAGCCGGCCUGAGAGGGUGACCGGCCACAUUGGGACUGAGAUACGGCCCAGACUCCUACGGGAGGCAGCAGUGGGGAAUAUUGCACAAUGGGCGGAAGCCUGAUGCAGCAACGCCGCGUGCGGGAUGACGGCCUUCGGGUUGUAAACCGCUUUCGCCUGUGACGAAGCGUGAGUGACGGUAAUGGGUAAAGAAGCACCGGCUAACUACGUG